GAUGAACGCUGGCGGCGUGCUUAACACAUGCAAGUCGAACGAAGCUGCUUAACUGAUCUUCUUCGGAAUUGACGUUUUGUAGACUGAGUGGCGGACGGGUGAGUAACGCGUGGGUAACCUGCCCUGUACAGGGGGAUAACAGUCAGAAAUAACUGCUAAUACCGCAUAAGACCACAGCACCGCAUGGUGCAGGGGUAAAAACUCCGGUGGUACAGGAUGGACCCGCGUCUGAUUAGCUGGUUGGUGAGGUAACGGCUCACCAAGGCGACGAUCAGUAGCCGACCUGAGAGGGUGACCGGCCACAUUGGGACUGAGACACGGCCCAAACUCCUACGGGAGGCAGCAGUGGGGAAUAUUGCACAAUGGGGGAAACCCUGAUGCAGCGACGCCGCGUGAAGGAUGAAGUAUUUCGGUAUGUAAACUUCUAUCAGCAGGGAAGAAAAUGACGGUACC
rnacentral:rRNA from 1 species